GUUGCACUGCGCGGCUACAUUCUACUCUCACCUUGUGAGCAGCAAGCAACUGGAGUGAAAACGUGUGAGCGACCAUCUUGGUCUACUUUGUGCCCUGUUUCCCCAUGAUCCAGCAACUCGUUUUCGGCUAUAUCGUUCACUCAACAGGAAUUCCGCACUGACAUGGAGGUGACGUGGAUCGUGCUCGUUCUGACAGUGUUCCAGUCGGAGGCCGCUUCUUUGCAGGGACGUAAGGCGGGCCACCUCACAGGAGAAGUUGUCGGCGUAUACGAGUGCGCGGAUUUUGAGGGAAACGGUAUUCGAUUCAGCCGGAAUCUAACCCGGCUCAAAGGCCCAAAUGGCGAGUUCGGCGUGUCAACAAGUUUUGAUCUGUUGAGGGGAACGAAAUUCGUAA